GUGCAGACCUUUCCAGCGAGGCUCAGCCCAACGUGGCUCUGACCUUUCCUGUUGUGUCUGCUAGAGAGAUGUGGGGCUGUUUGAGGCCCUGCUGUGGCUCUUCACGGCAGGGUUAUAGGAAAACCUCCGACAUUA